UCCUACGGGGGGCAGCAGUGAGGAAUAUUGGUCAAUGGGAGAGAUCCUGAACCAGCCAAGCCGCGUGAGGGAAGACGGCCCUAUGGGUUGUAAACCUCUUUUGUCGGAGAACAAAACCCGGGACGUGUCCCGGACUGCGUGUAUCCGAAGAAAAAGCAUCGGCUAACUCCGUGCCAGCAGCCGCGGUAAUACGGAGGAUGCGAGCGUUAUCCGGAUUUAUUGGGUUUAAAGGGUGCGUAGGCGGUCCGUUAAGUCAGCGGUAAAAUUGCGGGGCUCAACCCCGUCGGGCCGUUGAAACUGGCAGA
rnacentral:rRNA from 1 species